GAUCCCAGAGCUCCAGCACUGCCAGCACACAGCUGUCCUAAGAUUUCCCUGUACAAAAUCAGCUUAAGGAGACUUGAGAAUUCAAACCUUCUGGUUUGCAGAGCAGUGUGGAUGAGGAGGGGGAAGCUUCUUUGUUUUCCCACUUCAUGACUACGCAGCUUUUUAUUUCCUUUUGAGCCAUGGAUGUGUAAUCAGUGACUGUCAUCAUGUGCUCCACAAAAGCUAUCACAGCACCGUUAUCCACCUUCACAACCCUCAUUUGAGAAAUCUGCAAUAACAAUUCCAGUAAUGAAAGGCAUUUGCAUACUGUUAAUGUAUCCUUACUUCGUGUGAGUCAGAACACGUUGGAUUGCAUGAAAGUGAAGCCCAACAUAACUGUAAAACUUCAGUCCUUAAGGUAACAGAGACCAAAGAACAACGUUACUUGGAGAGAAAUAGCCGCCAUACAAAUCCUGCAUGACAAUGAGCAUACAGUGGAAAACGAUGCACUCUCUCUUAAUGAAAAGGGCUCGUGUCUCCAAAGGUUACUGCAUUUCUCUUCCUGAAGAGAUGGGUACAUUGAGAGAGCUCUGUCAACAGCCAGUGGAAUCUUCUCAUGAUCAAAACCACCACUUCAAAGAACAGUGAGCUAUCAGAUUUCUGAAUAAAGGAGGAGAUGGAACUGACA